rnacentral:siRNA from 1 species
UGAACAUUAGGUGUAAGUUGUGUU